rnacentral:ncRNA from 1 species
UGUAAUUGAAAAUGAUUAUCAAUACUAAAUAAGACAUUCCCCCCACACAUUACGUUCUUAUUAGCAUUGAUCAUUUUCAGAAAUAUCCCCUUUUAUAUGCCCGUAAAAGACUAACGUUGCGAGUCAACGUAUUAUAAAAGCUGACUUU